GACGUAGGGCUGCGAGCGUUGUCCGGAUUUAUUGGGCGUAAAGAGCUCGUAGGCGGCUUGUCGCGUCGCCGUGAAAACCCUGGGCUUAACUCGACGGGCUUGCGGUCGAUACGGGCGGCUAGAGUUCGGUGGAGGACUGGAAUUCCUGGUGUAGCGGUGAAAUGCGCAGAUAUCAGGAGGAACACCGGUGGCGAAGGCGGGUCUCUGGGCCGAUACUGACGCUGAGGCACGAAAGCGUGGGGAGCAAACAGG
rnacentral:rRNA from 1 species